rnacentral:rRNA from 1 species
GAUGAACGCUGACAGAAUGCUUAACACAUGCAAGUCGACUGUGGCGGACGGGUGAGUAACGCGUAAAGAACUUGCCUCACAGAUAGGGACAACAUUUGGAAACGAAUCCUAAUACCUGAUACUGUGAGAGAGCUUUGCGUCCCAUUAGCUAGUUGGAGAGGUAACGGCUCACCAAGGCGAUGAUGGGUAGCCGGCCUGAGAGGGUGAUCGGCCACACGGGGACUGAGAAAUGGCCAUUAGUCCUACGGGAGGCAUGAGUGGGGAAUAUUGGAAAAAGGACCACAGUCAGAUCCAGCAAUUCGGGGUGCAAGAUGAAGUUUUCGGAAUGUAAAGUGCUGUCAGUUGGGAAGCGGUACCAACAGAAGAAGGGACGGCUAAAUACGUGCCAGCAGCCGCGGUAAUUC